ensembl:snoRNA
UGGAUUGAUGAUGACUACUGGUAGUGUAUGAGUCAUGUCAUGUACGAUGAAUAUGUGUCUGGAACUCUGAGGUCCAA